AAACGGGCGGCGCGCCACACAAAAAGCUUCGUCUUAUUCAGCAAAUAAACAAUUAUAUCUAAGUGCCGGCAAAAGCAGAAAACGUCAAGUGAGGCUUUGAAAUCUCCAGUGACAUCUAUCUGUCAUCAAUUAGAUGUCUAAGACCAGCCUCUGAUACAGGAGCUCUCACGCUCCAGUAAAAGUACACUAUAGCAAGCAAGGGAGCACAUGUAUGCAUUUUUUGCGCUAACUUGGUGGUGCCUGUGGAUCAAGUAGUAAUCGUUGGUGGUACAACAUGGAAAAGUCUGAAUAUUUAAAGGGACCUGGAAACUGGCAGGCGAGGUCCUACUUCCAGCCUUGGACGCUGUAUGGUUGAUGUUAAGGGUGCAUUCAGGCUCCUCACCUGAAGAUGGUGCCAGUAUUAUCGCAAAUGGUCAGCCAAUGGAAACAGUCCCUAGGGGGCUGGUAUCCUGGGACCUGCACAUUGGUAGCCCUGCAGAUUUUUGUGUAAUUAAAACGAACCUUACCAGAAAGAGAAGGCCAACUUUUAAACCUUAAUAUAUUGCUUGCAAUGGUGAACUUGAUUACAACAUUAAGAGUCAAUUUAAAUACACCUGUUGCGUUCAAUCAGGACCAAUAAGGUGGCUGGACUUACCCCUUGUGAUUAAUUAAAUUUUUUGCCCAAGUUUGAUAAAACAGAUGGACUUAAUAACCCUUGUCUUUUUUUAUAUUUUUUACUCAAAUUUUAUUUAAAAAAAAAUGGACUUACACUAAUUUGUUUUGGUAAAACUG